ACGUGUUGAUAACGUGUUAGAAUGAAUCCUCUUCCUUUUUCAUUAGAUGAAUAUGGAUAUAUAUACAAAAAGAGAUGCAAUGAAGAGGCAUCUAUUUAGGAGAGAUGGCAGUUACAAAGGGAGAUUACCCCAUAAUUAACACAUGUUAAUUAAACUCUAACAAGAACAUCUUGUGCAACUACAUCAAGCAAUCAAGUAAGUUCUCGGAGGUCAAGAAAGUUCUAACUACAAUUAAAGUUGCCUAGAUUUUUUAUUGACCCCGUCAUAGCAAGGAUUGCAUUUCAAAGCUUGAAUCAUAUGCUUACCGCAGCAUGCUACAAGUCACUGUUUGUUAUAGGACAUUAAGGACAGUAACUCUGUAACUUCUACACACUUCAUUCCCUGCCCACUCAAAUUAAAAUAUUUAGAGAUCAUGCAAGUUCUAGUGGAAACGAUGCAGUUCCCUCCACAUUUUCUCAUCCGGGCUUGGGACCGGCAAAGGCAGUGUUAAACUACGAAACUACUAAACGCAUAAACCAGCAAACACUACAACCAAUUAUUCAGCUAAGCAUACAAGCCACACCGUCAACCAAAGGCAGCAUUGUCCCGACAAACGAAUUGACCAAGGCAAUAAAUAUUCACAACAUUUGCACAAGAUCGUAAGACAGAAACAUAGGGGCACAAACAAGGAAAGCUAUAAAUUCCAGAACCUACUAAUUUCUCUAAUGUGGCAAGGUGAUUCAAAUCUUUAAUCUUGAAUAUCUUCAUCAGUAGGCACAGAGAAAGCUUUCACACUUUUAGCCCGUAAUAGAGUCCUUCGGCCAUAAGAUGUGUCAACAGAUACUUGUGUCUCUUAAAAAUCUAGUAUAUUAUAAGCUUGAUUUAAGAGUGUGCAAUUGGCAGGAAUCAUCAAAUUAGUAUUUUUGCUAGUUAACUAAAUUAAAACUAGGAAGCUCCGGGAAAACCAAUAAUAUGUAAUUGAAGAUUCCAUAAUCCAGAUCAAAUUAACCAUUAGAGGACCGUAAGAUGUGUGGAGGCUUUGUGUCUUCAAAUCCAUGACGAAUGCAGAACGAAACAAACUGACAUAUGUACAAGCUACUUGAGUUGAAAGUAUACAAUCAGCAGUAAAACCAUCAAACUUAGCCCAACUAUUUUACAAAGUUGUCAAAUUAAAAUAGGAAGUUCCCCAGCAAACCGAGAAGAUGCAUUGAAGAUUCGUAAUCCAGAUCCCACUGGAGAACCACCAAUGGUAAGAACAUCACUUCUGAAAAUCAAUUCCAUACCAAUAAGUCGGGAUCAUCGGAGUCAUAUUCAGUGGAAAUGACACUAAUCAAAGACAUGAUGAGUAGUAGUGUCCAUGGCAAACUGUUUGUUCAAGCUUCGAGUCGAGAAGCUUCAACUCUCCAUUUUUUUUGUAUAUAUAGCAAUAAUCCCUAACCUCUUUCUGCGUAUCAAGCCAUCAACAUUACCCAACUAUAGAAGUCAGGAGAGGAUCAGAAACCAAAAAUACGACAUAUUUUGAUGGCUACCAGCAUAGCUUGGGCUAAACAAUCUGCAACCACAAGAAGGCGGAAGCAAAAAAACACAAUCAAUGCUACAAGCACAAAGCAUCUAAGACAACAGAAGCUUCUUCAAGAGAUCAAAUAGAGAGCACUGGGUUUUUUCGGUUGUAGGAUGGCCCGUCUAGAUUGAUGCCCUGCAGCAACCUUCGAACCUUCUACAUCCACCAAUCCAAUCUGAAUGUUCAAAUUUUGUCUCCAUGAGAUAAAUUAUAUGUUCAAAAAUUACGACGAAUUGGAAAGGUGCAGGGUUUAGAAUAUCUUCUAACAUACUCAUCAUCAGGUUGGACCUAAAUCGUCAGUUAGGACCUGCAGUGACCAAGAAACCUCCGUUUGAACUUCUGCUUUGGGGAAACGAAGCUGCCUAUGAACAGCUAAAUGAUGCAUCAAACAGUGAGGGGAUAGGAUAAGCCUACUUGGCUGGGAGAUAUCAGUUAGGGAAACACCAGUUCCAGAUAGCAAACUAUAUUAUCUCUCAUCCAUGUAAAUAUCUGCUAUCAGUUAGGGAAACACCAGUUCCAGAUAGCAAACUAUAUUAUCUCUCAUCGAUGUAAAUAUCUGGAAGGACAUGUAGUUACCAAGGCCAGAGAAAACAAUGUCUAGGAAGUGCAAUGUUCAAAGCAAAUCAGGAAAGAUGAAGUCAAGAGAAGAAACCCCAUGUAAACCAACAGUCAAAGCAAGGCACCUUCCAGAAAGCCCCAUAAGUCCAAUAGCUGGAGAACCAACAGUUCCAUAUGAGAGAUGUUGUAAGCUAAAUUCGACUGUGCAAACAAAGAAACUAAAUUGAGGAUCAAUUAUCCAAACUCAGUUCGCAAAUUCUCUGAUCUCCAUUCCAUGGUUAAUGAUCCAAUCCGACUUCAAUCCAAAACAAAAACUUCAGCACACAAGAUGCUAUCUUAUAUCAUGCAGGGCAUUGAGCCAUAACCAAUCCAAAUAACCAUGAACAGUAAAACAAACCUCCACCCUCUGAUUCAUCACUCAGCAACCAUCACCCUCCGGCAUCUGAAGGAGAACAAACACAUACCCCACAAGCAGAGAUCAGCUGUAACAACGAGAACCAACGAGAAUGCACCUUGUACCGAGGGAUAAUGGUACUCAUGUUGUAGGAUAUGCCACUAGUUUGAAGCUUCAUUCUUGCACCUUCUGCAGCUAAAUCUGAAUUUAAAAUAUUGCCUGGUAAGAGAUCUUAUUAACAUUAUCUCAGUUAAGGAAUUGAGUAGAUAGUGGUUUUAGAAGAACUGCAAACUCAGCAUCAGGUUUGUGGCCUUGAGUUCGUAAGCUACAACCUGCAACGAGCAAGAUAACCUUUCUAUAAAUGUUUCAGCUAGGGGAAAACUGGAUGAAACAAUGAGGAGGUAGAGGAUAAAAUAAGCCUGUCUCGACUGGGAAGGUCAGGUAGACAACACAGGUUCCACUUAUAUAUCCUUUGCAAGACACUAUCUGCAAGAGCUGAGAAUAACUAAGACAGGGAAAACUAAUGUCUGCUGAGUCUAAUUAAUAUUGAAAUAAGAAAGGUCCAGAAAGUUCAAGAGUCUAUUUCGGUUGUAGGAUGUGCCAGGAUUGUCAUUAGAUUCGUGCACCGUUGCAUAUGGAUCUGUAUUAUAAAAUAUUACCUAGUAAGAUAAUAUGUAGGUCAUGAAAGUUAUGAUGAAUUGAGACAAUACUCAUAGAUUUAGAAGAUCUGCAAGCAAAUUCAUCAUCAGGUUGGACUUGAGUUCAUCAACUACAACCUGCAACGAGCAAGAGGCCUUUCUAUAAAUUUUCAGUUAGGGGAAAAUGCUACUUUUAUAUAUAAAUAGCUAAAGCAUGGAUCAAAGAUGGAUGGGGAACAAGUA
rnacentral:lncRNA from 1 species